rnacentral:lncRNA from 1 species
UAAGUUCGGUUUUUGUUAGAUUAUAAAAAAAUCAUGUUUUUUUAUUUUGGUUUUGUCCCGUCUUCAGUCAGCUGUUUGUUCCACAAUUGUUUUAAAUAAGAAUUCUUCCAACACCCUCCAUCAGUAUGAAACAAUCUCUGAUAGUAAAUCAAACUUCCCACACUGACCACAGGAGAAAGGAGAUCGUCUACAAAGAAUCCCAAUAUAACAGUUCUGCACCACAGAGCCAUGUCUGAUUCAAUGGCUCGUCUCAAUCACCUGCUCUCUCUCUCCCUUCUCUCACUCUCUCUACUCUCUUUCUCCUGCUCUCUCUCUCACUUCUCUCACUCUCUUUCUCCUGCUCUCUCUCCCUUCUCUCACUCUCUCUACUCUCUUUCUCCUGCUCCCUUUCUCCCUUCUCUCACUUUCGCUACUCUCUUUCUCCUGCUCCCUCUCUCCCUUCUCUCACUCUCUCUACUCUCUUUCUCCUGCUCUCUCUCUCACUUCUCUCACUCUCUCUACUCUCUUUCUCCUGCUCCCUCUCUCCCUUCUCUCACUCUCUCUACUCUCUUUCUCCUGCUCUCUCUCUCACUUCUCUCACUCUCUCUACUCUCUUUCUCCUGCUCCCUCUCUCCCUUCACUCUCUUUCUCCUGCUCCCUCUCUCCCUUCUCUCGCUCUCUCUACUCUCUUUCUCCUGCUCCCUCUCUCCCUUCUCUCGCUCACUCUACUCUCUUUCUCCUGCUCCCUCUCUCCCUUCUCUCACUCUCUCUACUCUCUUUCUCCUGCUCCCUCUCUCCCUUCUCUCGCUCACUCUACUCUCUUUCUCCUGCUCCCUCUCUCCCUUCUCUCACUCUCUCUACUCUCUUUCUCCUGCUCCCUCUCUCCCUUCUCUCGCUCGCUCUACUCUCUAUCUCCGGCUCCCUCUCUCCCGUCUCUCACUUUCGCUACUCUCUUUCUCCUGCUCCCUCUCUCCCUUCUCUCACUCUCUCUACUCUCUUUCUCCUGCUCCCUCUCCCUUCUCUCACUCUCUCUACUCUCUUUCUCCUGCUCCCUCUCUCCCUUCUCUCACUCUCUCUACUCUCUUUCUCCUGCUCCCUCUCUCCCUUCUCUCGCUCACUCUACUCUCUUUCUCCUGCUCCCUCUCUCCCUUCUCUCACUCUCUCUACUCUCUUUCUCCUGCUCCCUCUCUCCCUUCUCUCGCUCGCUCUACUCUCUAUCUCCGGCUCCCUCUCUCCCGUCUCUCACUUUCGCUACUCUCUUUCUCCUGCUCCCUCUCUCCCUUCUCUCACUCUCUCUACUCUCUUUCUCCUGCUCCCUCUCCCUUCUCUCACUCUCUCUACUCUCUUUCUCCUGCUCUCUCUCACUUCUCUCACUCUCUCUACUCUCUUUCUCCUGCUCCCUCUCUCCCUUCUCUCUCUCUCUACUCUCUUUCUCCUGCUCUCUCUCCCUUCUCUCACGCUCUCUACUCUCUUUCUCCUGCUCUCUCUAUUUACCUCCCCCUUCUCUCUCUCUGAAGCAGGCACCAG